UGUAUGAAAGGGGUCACCAAUACGAAAGUUUGAGAACCACUGAUCUAAUCUGUAGGUUUCUUAAAUUGAGGAUGCAAAGUUAAAUUCAAGUCAGUUGAAUAGGGGUUCUCCCCACUCUGAUUCAACAGGCAAAGAUUUUAAUGGGGUUGGAUGUUAGCAAAAGUGCAUUAACUACAGAAUAACUUUUUAUAGAAGUUCUAAGUUGCAUUCUGUGAUGCACAGCUUUGUAAAGAAAUUUGAAUUAGUGUAAAGAUAUUCAUAUUAGCUUUAAGUAUUCUUCUACUAACUCUGAUAAAUGCCUUUUCAGGUAAUUUAACCAGCUUGCACAUUUCAAUGAAAGGGAGAAGGAGGCAGCACAGUACAACUUCACAUUAACUGUUUUCCCAAGUUCAAUAUCCUUACCCGGAGAGAAGUGUGGGUCACAUUUAUUAAUUAAAAAAUCAGGGUUUAAUUUAAAACUAGGCUGUACAAAGCACUGAAUAAAACAGAAGUCGUCUUAGGGGAGAGCAGAUCCUCAAUGUUUUGUCCUAAGCUCAAGCUUUUGACAUGUAUUUAUGAUGAAAAAUAAAAACACUGGUGUAUGAUAUAAAGGCUAUAUUCAACUCACAUCUACAACUACACAGUGAAAGCUUCCUCAGACAGGUACGUACCAUAGCCCUUCACUUCACUCAUACAUAAGAUGAAAGUUCAUGUGUGCCUAUAUGGUCUAUUGUCGGUGGCCAAGACCUCAUUAAGGUAUAAGCAGAUUGUUGCAGCAGGACCAAAAAAAAAAAAAAAGCCACCACACAACUCACCAC